AACGAACGCUGGCGGCAUGCCUAACACAUGCAAGUCGAACGAGACCUUCGGGUCUAGUGGCGCACGGGUGCGUAACGCGUGGGAACCUGCCCUUAGGUUCGGAAUAACUCCCCGAAAGGGGUGCUAAUACCGGAUAAUGUCUUCGGACCAAAGAUUUAUUGCCUUUGGAUGGGCCCGCGUUGGAUUAGCUAGUUGGUAGGGUAAAAGCCUACCAAGGCGACGAUCCAUAGCUGGUAUGUGAGGAUGAUCAGCCACACUGGGACUGGGACACGGCCCAGACUCUUACGGGAGGCAGCAGUGGGGGAUAGUGGACAAUGGGGGAAGGCCUGAUCCAGCAAUGCCGCGUGAGUGAUGUAGGCCGUAGGGUUGUAAAGCUCUUUUACCCGGGAUGAUAAUGACAGUACCGGGAGAAUAAGCUCCGGCUAACUCCGUG
rnacentral:rRNA from 1 species